rnacentral:rRNA from 1 species
AGCAGCCGCGGUAAUUCCAGCUCCAAUAGCGUAUAUUAAAGUUGUUGCAGUUAAAAAGCUCGUAGUUGAAUUUCGGGGUCAGUAGGUUGGUCGUGCCACUGGUAUGCACUGGUCUCACUGAUUCCUCCUUCCUGAUGAGCCGUAAUGCCAUUAAUUUGGUGUUGCGGGGAAUCUGGACUGUUACUUUGAAAAAUUAGAGUGUUUAAAGCAGGCUAACGCUUGAAUACAUUAGCAUGGAAUAAUGAAAUAGGACGAUCGAUCCUAUUUUGUUGGUUUCUAGGAUUGACGUAAUGAUUAAUAGGGAUAGUUGGGGGCAUUAGUAUUCAAUUGUCAGAGGUGAAAUUCUUGGAUUUAUUGAAGACUAACUACUGCGAAAGCAUUUGCCAAGGAUGUUUUCAUUAAUCAAGAACGAAAGUUAGGGGAUCGAAGACGAUCAGAUACCGUCGUAGUCUUAACCAUAAACUAUGCCGACUAGGGAUCGGAUGAUGUUAAUUUUUAAUGACUCAUUC